GAUACCAGCUGGCUGCAACUGUUUAUUAAAAACACAGCACUGUGCAAACACGAAAGUGGACGUAUACGGUGUGACGCCUGCCCGGUGCCGGAAGGUUAAUUGAUGGGGUUAGCGCAAGCGAAGCUCUUGAUCGAAGCCCCGGUAAACGGCGGCCGUAACUAUAACGGUCCUAAGGUAGCGAAAUUCCUUGUCGGGUAAGUUCCGACCUGCACGAAUGGCGUAAUGAUGGCCAGGCUGUCUCCACCCGAGACUCAGUGAAAUUGAACUCGCUGUGAAGAUGCAGUGUACCCGCGGCAAGACGGAAAGACCCCGUGAACCUUUACUAUAGCUUGACACUGAACAUUGAGCCUUGAUGUGUAGGAUAGGUGGGAGGCUUAGAAGUGUGGACGCCAGUCUGCAUGGAGCCGACCUUGAAAUACCACCCUUUAAUGUUUGAUGUUCUAACGUGGACCCGUAUCCGGGUUGCGGACAGUGUCUGGUGGGUAGUUUGACUGGGGCGGUCUCCUCCUAAAGAGUAACGGAGGAGCACGAAGGUUGGCUAAUCCUGGUCGGACAUCAGGAGGUUAGUGCAAUGGCAUAAGCCAGCUUGACUGCGAGCGUGACGGCGCGAGCAGGUGCGAAAGCAGGUCAUAGUGAUCCGGUGGUUCUGAAUGGAAGGGCCAUCGCUCAACGGAUAAAAGGUACUCCGGGGAUAACAGGCUGAUACCGCCCAAGAGUUCAUAUCGACGGCGGUGUUUGGCACCUCGAUGUCGGCUCAUCACAUCCUGGGGCUGAAGUAGGUCCCAAGGGUAUGGCUGUUCGCCAUUUAAAGUGGUACGCGAGCUGGGUUUAGAACGUCGUGAGACAGUUCGGUCCCUAUCUGCCGUGGGCGCUGGAGAACUGAGGGGGGCUGCUCCUAGUACGAGAGGACCGGAGUGGACGCAUCACUGGUGUUCGGGUUGUCAUGCCAAUGGCACUGCCCGGUAGCUAAAUGCGGAAGAGAUAAGUGCUGAAAGCAUCUAAGCACGAAACUUGCCCCGAGAUGAGUUCUCCCUGACUCCUUGAGAGUCCUGAAGGAACGUUGAAGACGACGACGUUGAUAGGCCGGGUGUGUAAGCGCAGCGAUGCGUUGAGCUAACCGGUACUAAUGAACCGUGAGGCUUAACCUU
rnacentral:rRNA from 1 species